UGAUGCAGCAGCGCCGCGUGAGUGAUGAAGGCUUUCGGGCCGUAAAACUCUGUCCUAAGGGAAGAAAGAAAUGACGGUACCUUAGGAGGAAGCCCCGGCUAACUACGUGCCAGCAGCCGCGGUAAUACGUAGGGGGCAAGCGUUAUCCGGAAUUAUUGGGCGUAAAGAGUGCGUGGGUGGUUCUACAAGCCUUGGGUGAAAGGCUACGGCUCAACCGUAGUAAGCCUUGGGAACUGUAGGACUUGAGUGCAGGAGAGGAGAGCGGAAUUCCUAGUGUAGCGGUGAAAUGCGUAGAUAUUAGGAGGAACACCAGUGGCGAAGGCGGCUCUCUGGACUGUAACUGACGCUGAGGCACGAAAGCGUGGGGAGCGAACAGGAUUAGAUACCCUGGUAGUCCACGCCGUAAACGAUGAGUACUAGGUGUCGGGGUCGCGAGGCUUCGGUGCCGUAGCUAACGCAUUAAGUACUCCGCCUGGGG
rnacentral:rRNA from 1 species